rnacentral:rRNA from 1 species
GAUGAACGCUGGCGGCAUGCUUGAACACAUGCAAGUCGAACGAGCUCAUGGGUAACUAUUAGUAUAGUGGCGGACGGGUGCGUAACGCGUAAGAACUUACCUUUUGGAGGGGAUGACAACGGGACACUGUUGCUAAUACCCCCAUAAAUGCUGAGGAGUUAAAACAGCUUUUGCUGGCCAAAAGAGAGGCUUGCGUCUGAUUAGCUAGUUGGUGGGGGUAAACGCCUCCCAAGGCCACGAUCAGUAGCUGGUCUGAGAGGAUGAUCAGCCACACUGGAACUGAGACACGGUCCAGACUCCUACGGGAGGCAGCAGUGAGGAAUAUUCCGCAAUGGGCGAAAGCCUGAGCGGAGCAAUGCCGCGCUGAGCGAGAGAAGGUGCUGUGGAUGCGUAAACCUCUCCUUUUACAGGAAGCACAAAUGACGGUACUUGAA